rnacentral:ncRNA from 1 species
ACGCGUUGCGGGAGAGCCGGCUGGGCCGGCACCGAAGGAGCAAGCCUCCCCGCCAAUCUCUCAGGUCACAGACCGCAGC